rnacentral:rRNA from 2 species
GCAAUCAGCGUCAGUAACAAAUUAAUAAUUACAACUUUCAACAACGGAUCUCUUGGUUCUGGCAUCGAUGAAGAACGCAGCGAAAUGCGAUAAGUAGUGUGAAUUGCAGAAUUCAGUGAAUCAUCGAAUCUUUGAACGCACAUUGCGCCCUUUGGUAUUCCAAAGGGCAUGCCUGUUCG